ACACAUGCAAGUCGGGGGGCAGCAUCAUCAAAGCUUGCUUUGAUGGAUGGCGACCGGCGCACGGGUGAGUAACACGUAUCCAACCUGCCGACAACACUGGGAUAGCCUUUCGAAAGAAAGAUUAAUACCGGAUGGUAUAGUUUUCCCGCAUGGGAUGAUUAUUAAAGAAUUUCGGUUGUCGAUGGGGAUGCGUUCCAUUAGGCAGUUGGCGGGGUAACGGCCCACCAAACCUACGAUGGAUAGGGGUUCUGAGAGGAAGGUCCCCCACAUUGGAACUGAGACACGGUCCAAACUCCUACGGGAGGCAGCAGUGAGGAAUAUUGGUCAAUGGACGAGAGUCUGAACCAGCCAAGUAGCGUGAAGGAUGACUGCCCUAUGGGUUGUAAACUUCUUUUACACGGGAAUAAAGUGAGCCACGUGUGGCUUUUUGUAUGUACCGUAUGAAUAAGGAUCGGCUAACUCCGUGCCAGCAGCCGCGGUAAUACGGAGGAUCCGAGCGUUAUCCGGAUUUAUUGGGUUUAAAGGGAGCGUAGGCGGGUUGUUAAGUCAGUUGUGAAAGUUUGCGGCUCAACCGUAAAAUUGCAGUUGAUACUGGCGACCUUGAGUGCAACAGAGGUAGGCGGAAUUCGUGGUGUAGCGGUGAAAUGCUUAGAUAUCACGAAGAACUCCGAUUGCGAAGGCAGCUUACUGGAUUGUAACUGACGCUGGUGCUCGAAAGUGUGGGUAUCAAACAGGAUUAGAUACCCUGGUAGUCCACACAGUAAACGAUGAAUACUCGCUGUUGGCGAUAUACAGUCAGCGGCCAAGCGAAAGCAUUAAGUAUUCCACCUGGGG
rnacentral:rRNA from 1 species